rnacentral:rRNA from 1 species
GUAGGUGGCAAGCGUUGUCCGGAAUUAUUGGGCGUAAAGCGCGCGCAGGCGGUCCUUUAAGUCUGAUGUGAAAGCCCACGGCUCAACCGUGGAGGGUCAUUGGAAACUGGGGGACUUGAGUACAGAAGAGGAAAGCGGAAUUCCAAGUGUAGCGGUGAAAUGCGUAGAGAUUUGGAGGAACACCAGUGGCGAAGGCGGCUUUCUGGUCUGUAACUGACGCUGAGGCGCGAAAGCGUGGGGAGCAAACAGGAUUAGAUACCCUGGUAGUCCACGCCGUAAACGAUGAGUGCUAAGUGUUGGGGGGGUUUCCCGCCCCCCUUAGUGCUGCAGCUAACGCAUUAAGCACUCCGCCUGGGGAGUACGGCCGCAAGGCUG